UACGUAGGAUGCAAGCGUUGUCCGGAAUUAUUGGGCGUAAAGGGCUCGUAGGCGGCCAACUAAGUCGGACGUGAAAUCCCUCGGCUUAACCGGGGAACUGCGUCCGAUACUGGAUGGCUUGAGUUUGGGAGAGGGAUGCGGAAUUCCAGGUGUAGCGGUGAAAUGCGUAGAUAUCUGGAGGAACACCGGUGGCGAAGGCGGCAUCCUGGACCAACACUGACGCUGAUGAGCGAAAGCCAGGGGAGCAAACGGG
rnacentral:rRNA from 1 species